AAUAACAAUACAGGGCAAUUGUCUUGUAAUUGGAAUGAUGGUGACCUAAACCCUCACCAGAGUAACAAUUGGAGGGCAAGUCUGGUGCCAGCAGCCGCGGUAAUUCCAGCUCCAAUAGCGUAUAUUAAACUUGUUGCAGUUAAAAAGCUCGUAGUUGAAUUUCUGCGUUAUCGAGUUAUUGACUCUUGUCUUUAAUCGAUUUCGCUUUUGGGAUUUAUCCCUUUUUACUUUGAGAAAAUUAGAGUGUUUCAAGCAGACUUUUGUCUUGAAUACUUCAGCAUGGAAUAAUAGAGUAGGACUUUGGUUCUAUUUUGUUGGUUUUUGAACCUUAGUAAUGGUUAAUAGGAACG
rnacentral:rRNA from 1 species